rnacentral:rRNA from 1 species
UACAGAGGCCUCGAGCGUUAGGCGGAAUCACUGGGCUUAAAGCGUGUGUAGGCGGACUUCUAAGUACCUUGUGAAAUCCCACGGCUCACCCGUGGAACUGCUGGGUAUACUGGUCGUCUUGAGCCACCUAGGGGCGAGCGGAACAAAUGGUGGAGCGGUGAAAUGCGUAGAUAUCAUUUGGAACGCCAACGGUGAAAACAGCUCGCUGGGGGUGUGCUGACGCUGAGACACGAAAGCCAGGGUAGCGAACGGG